rnacentral:piRNA from 1 species
AGUUGUGAUUGAGGAUUGAAACG